rnacentral:rRNA from 1 species
AUUGAACGCUGGCGGCAUGCUUUACACAUGCAAGUCGAACGGUAACAGGUUAAGCUGACGAGUGGCGAACGGGUGAGUAAUGCAUCGGAACGUGCCCGGUCGUGGGGGAUAACGCAGCGAAAGUUGCGCUAAUACCGCAUACGAUCUGAGGAUGAAAGCGGGGGACCGUAAGGCCUCGCGCGAUCGGAGCGGCCGAUGUCAGAUUAGGUAGUUGGUGGGGUAAAGGCUCACCAAGCCAACGAUCUGUAGCUGGUCUGAGAGGACGACCAGCCACACUGGGACUGAGACACGGCCCAGACUCCUACGGGAGGCAGCAGUGGGGAAUUUUGGACAAUGGGCGAAAGCCUGAUCCAGCAAUGCCGCGUGCAGGAAGAAGGCCUUCGGGUUGUAACUGCUUUUGUACGGAGCGAAAAGGUCUCCUCUAAUACAGGGGGCUCAUGACGGUACCGUAAGAAUAAGCACCGGCUAACUACGUGCCAGCCGCCGCCGUAA